GCAUUACUCAUUAGGAUAACGUCUUCUGGCGGGAGUGCACCGCAUCAGCAAAAACCGGGAAGCAGGUUGGAGCUCGGUCUUUGGCCUCCGCCACUGAGGAUGCAGAAAGGGUCACCGCCCUCACAGUCAUGGGGAUAAACAUCAUCCAUGGAGAUGGCGAUAGGCAGCCAGAGGAUGUUGGAAUUGUUAUCGAAGGCAUCAAAGUCCUAAGCAACGUGGACACCGUCAUCAUGGGGAUAAUAAUGAUGUUUGGGGCUCAUUUAUGCCCUUGAUUUAAGCGUUCCAGACAACCUCAAGUACACAUUUGAGUUUUUCCAGAAGAUCCUAAUGAACCUGGCUGGUCACAAACUGAACACAAAGAUACAGAAGCUGAAAAUCAAGUUGUUUACAUGAGAGGUGAACACUUCUUGACAAAGUUCAACAUCGGCUCUUUAUUUUUGGGUGUAUUUUUUUGCCUUCAUUUUCACCCCAUUUGAAGACAAUCUAUGACCUACAACAUUUUGAACUUUAGAAAUGGACCUAACUUUACCUCCCCAUUGUAUCUCUGAGUGUGACUAAUUGAAUCACUUGUUUUUUUUCCACCAAAUUAUUUUUAUAUCUUUUUUUUUCUCCAAAUAGUUCACGAAAUACCACUACAAAUGAGCAAUAUUUUGCACUGUUAUACAAUUUAAUAAAUCAGAAACUGAUGACAUA